rnacentral:rRNA from 1 species
CCUANGGGUGGCAGCAGGCGCGAAAACUCCACACUGUACGUAAGUACGAUGGGGUUACCUCGAGUGUAGUCUGUAAAAGAUUGCUUUUCCAUAGAGUAAUAUCCUGUGGGAAUAAGAGGGGGGCAAGACUGGUGUCAGCCGCCGCGGUAACACCAGCCCCUCGAGUGGUAGGGACUUUUAUUUGGCCUAAAGCGUUCGUAGCCGUCUGUAACCGUUGCCCGUUAAAUCCAGCGUCUCAAGCGUUGGACUGCGGGCGAUACCUUACAGAUUGAGGGUGGGAUAGGUAAGCGGUAUUUCUGGGGUAGGGGCGAAAUCCUUUGAUCCCAGGAGGACCACCAGUGGCGAAGGCUGCUUACUAGAACACGCCUGACGGUCAGGAACGAAAGCUGGGGUAGCGAACCGGAUUAGAUACCCGANUANUC